rnacentral:miRNA from 1 species
GCAGCCUCGCUGGCAGGCAGCUCCAGAGUGUGGCUCUCCCUAAGCAGGUGGGUUUCAGUUCACUCUCCCUGGAAGAAGUCCUGGAGCUGGAGCAGUCCAGGGGCCUCCAGCGGGACAGUUG